AUUGAACGCUGGCGGAAUGCUUUACACAUGCAAGUCGGGCGGCAGCGCGGGGGCAACCCUGGCGGCGAGCGGCGAACGGGUGAGUAACACAUCGGAGCGUAUCCUGUCGUGGGGGAUAACGAAUCGAAAGAUUCGCUAAUACCGCAUACGACCUGAGGGUGAAAGCGGGGGAUCGCAAGACCUCGCGCGAUUGGAGCGGCCGAUGUCGGAUUAGCUAGUUGGUGAGGUAAAGGCUCACCAAGGCGACGAUCCGUAGCGGGUCUGAGAGGACGGCCCGCCACACUGGAACUGAGACACGGUCCAGACUCCUACGGGAGGCAGCAGUGGGGAAUUUUGGACAAUGGGGGCAACCCUGAUCCAGCCAUUCCGCGUGAGUGAAGAAGGCCUUCGGGUUGUAAAGCUCUUUCGGCCGGGAAGAAAUCGUAUGGGUUAAUACCCUGCGCGGAUGACGGUACCGGCAUAAGAAGCACCGGCUAACUACGUGCCAGCCGCCGCGGUAA
rnacentral:rRNA from 1 species